UCGGGGCCGCCCCAGGGCCGGGUUUCCACACCCGAAAUGCCGCACCCCGGGCAAGGUUCGCCCUCAGGAAGGAUUUAUGCCGCGUUGUAGGGCUGCAGCAGUGUCCCUGGGCUCCAAACUGGAGGAGCACGUUGUCAUUGACACACUGUGGUCAUCCUGAACUGGUGCUUCAAGCAGAGACUGCUCAACAUGAGGAGGAUCUGCAUGUUCAUGCUGGACAAGGCUGGACCUCAUGAUUGACAUGCAGGACUUUUCCUCCCAGAGCAUCCACAUCCAGAGAUGGAUCACAGAAACCUGCUUUUGGCACAGGAAAAUGCAAAAGGGGAGAGUUAGAAGGGCUCUCCUAAAAGACUGACAGAUGCUGCUUUUCUCUGCCACCUUCUGUAAAAUGUGUGGAAGUUCACCUUGCAGAUCAUCUCCAGAUCCAUCAUCAUCAAGCUGCGGCAGGAGAAGCUUGCCCUAACCAACACCAGGCUACUGCUUUGUCUGCAGGAACUGGGAGCAGAAGUAUGCAGCCCUCUGCAACCGCUAUGGCAGCAUUUCCAGGCCUUAAUGUUCUGCCAGGUACAGCUCAUUGGUAAGCAGUGAGCUGCCAGUGAUCCAUCUGACAUGAUCAAGCCCAGUGUGAUGUCAGCUCUGCUUCAAUGAUCGCCAAAAACGAGGGAACAAGGUGCAAGGGACGGAUGGGAAACACACAGUGAGAAUUAAAAGCUCAGAGUGGUAACAGCAUCUAAUAGUUGGAACCAAGCCAGUUGCUUGGCUUUCGUGGUGGGCAUUACGUGGAAACCAUGCUCUGUUCCCUCAACCUUUGUGUUCAAAAGCAUUUGGUGACCCAA